CUACGUGCCAGCAGCCGCGGUAAUACGUAGGGCGCGAGCGUUGUCCGGAAUUAUUGGGCGUAAAGGGCUUGUAGGCGGUUGGUCGCGUCUGCCGUGAAAUUCUCUGGCUUAACUGGGGGCGUGCGGUGGGUACGGGCUGACUUGAGUGCGGUAGGGGAGACUGGAACUCCUGGUGUAGCGGUGGAAUGCGCAGAUAUCAGGAAGAACACCGGUGGCGAAGGCGGGUCUCUGGGCCGUUACUGACGCUGAGGAGCGAAAGCGUGGGGAGCGAACAGGAUUAGAUACCCUGGUAGUCCACGCUGUAAACGUUGGGCACUAGGUGUGGGGGCCACCCGUGGUUUYUGCGCCGUAGCUAACGCUUUAAGUGCCCCGCCUGGGUAGUACGGCCGCAAGGCUAAAACUCAAAGGAAUUGACGGGGGCCCGCACAAGCGGCGGAGCAUGCGGAUUAAUUCGAUGCAACGCGAAGAACCUUACCAAGGCUUGACAUGC
rnacentral:rRNA from 1 species